UCUCCAUGAUGACAAUUAAUUCAGUUCUGCUACUGAAGAAUUUUGACGAUAACAAAAAUACCAAAACCACUGAAAA